GGGGGUCGGGCAAAGGGUGGGGAUUUGAUCAAUCAGUUUGUCCCGUGGGUCGGGAUUUUGACUGGCACUUUUUUCUGAGUGGCCCGAGGGUGGGGAUUUUUGACAGAUUAACACUGAUCUCAAACGAAAUACUGAAGAGCUGAUUUUUGAACAAACUGAAGACUGGGCACUAGUUCAUAGCGCUUCCAUAUUGAAGGAAAUUUCCUUUUCAAAGGAAGUUCUGGCUUUAUGAAGGAAAUGUGAAGGAAAUUUCGGAAAAAUAGAAAAUUUGAAAGAAUUUUCAAAAUUUGC